GGAUUUAGCUCAGUGGUAGAGCGCUUACCUAGGAAGCGCAAGGCCCUGGGUUCGAUCCCCAGAUCCG
rfam:Rattus norvegicus chromosome 8, whole genome shotgun sequence.